ensembl:lncRNA
UUUCUUGUCUGGGAUUUGGCUGAUCUGUAAAACCUUACUUGAAUUAUUUCAGAAUAAGUCUGAAGCCUGGGAAACAUUUUCCUGCUAUUCUCCUCACCCCCAGAAAAUCCAUUCAUAUUUUAAAAACUUAAAAUAAAACGAGGAAUUUGCCGGUUCCCAACUGUGAUUUGCUCUUUACAUCUUUUGGAGCAUUGCCAGAAGCUCUCAUCAGUCCAUUAGUGAUGUAUAGAUGGCUAUUCCAAAAUAACAUAUGGCUGGGGACGAGACAUAUAUGUACACGAAAAUAACGGCUGCUGAUUUUGCUAUCAAAAUGCUCUUUGACCUUGACCUUUGUCUGCACUAUAUUAUUAAUUUAAGUCCUGUGUUGUCUCUUCACUUGUAAUAGGUGUUAUGUGUGGCCUUCAUUGCUAACAAAUGGAUACAGAUUUCACAAAUGGGGAAUAAAAUCACAGCACCCCCAAAACCCAAUCUGUCCGCUGGGUUUCUUACUCUUUGCACAACCUCAGCACCCUCCUACUAACAGAGCACAGGAACAGAACUAAUAUUAGAAGAUAUUAAACUCGCUUUUAGUACAGAAUAAUUUUAUUUGAAAUCACUAGCCUAAUCCCAAUUGAAUUUAUUUGAUGAAGCACAAGCCCUUGGUGUAGCACAGAUACCAUUUUUUUGGUGUGAAAGCAUAGAUUCUUGCUUAAAAAGAUUUAUAUGAUAUUAAUGACAUAGCUGCAUUUAGAUUGCAUGAAUCAGUAUGUGUCAUAAACUGCUUGAACACUCGUUAAACCUGAUAAAUUAAAUAACCCUCCUGGGCUGGAGAGAGAUGUCGCUGUUAGAUUUUAUGAUAUAUCAUACAUCACAUCUGUUUGUUAUUGUUCUACCCAUGUUAUCCUAUGUGUAAAAGGGAUAAAGCCAGCAGGAGCAAGUCCCACUUAUUUUGGAGGAAACAGCUGCUCUGCAAAUAGGAGAUAGUGGAAAAAAUCUGGAAAUCUGCUGGAGGUCUCCCUGAUAGCCUCAGGAAACACUGCAAGACUUGUCUACAUGGAGAGAGAGCCUGGAGAAUGUUAUUAUGUUAUUAUUAGUUAUUAAACUUCUUUUUUUUUUACUUCAGUAGAGCAGCUUGUAUUCCAAUUUCAAUUGUUGGACUGUGGAAGUGCAGCCACAGGGGCUUGCUGAUCCUUUGCUUGGGUCUCUCAGGCUGGAGCCUGGUCUCCAGCAAUACUGAUUUGUGUCUCCUCUUCCCAGGCAGUGCUGGACUGGGGCCCAGAUCUGCAUUUCAGCAGUGCUCUAAACUUGGUUAAGGCUUGGGUGAAGGGCCAUCACUGACCACUUCUCAAUUUCACUGAACACAGGCUCUCAGGGCCCACCUUUCAUGGUUCCCUACCUUUCACAUCAGCUUUUGCUGUCUCUCAAGGUGGUUACUGCAUGCCAUGGUGCCAUCACCCACUUGUUAAACUUUUCAACAACCGCCCAUAAUACGUUCUUCCAUCGGGCCCUCAGGCUUGGGAGAGCCACCCUGUAAACAGCCGCCAAGCUCCAUCAUUACCUGCCUUCCAAGCUCUUAUUUAAGUUCUCCUUUGCAAUAUGACUUAAGAAAAAGCCACCUCUGAUUUUAUGCAGACUACAAAAGUAUAUCAUGCUAAAUAAUAUACAUUCUUUUUUCAUCAUUUCCCAUAUUUCCUGUCUAGUUUUUAUUUCUUUGACUAUAAACUCUUUGGGAUAAGAAAUGUAUUCUCAUGCGUUUGUUAUUGAGACUCCGAGAAUUGAGAUGAUGUAAAUACACAGUAGGAUAAAUAAAGUGGAUCUUCUCUUUCAUUCUUCUUUUUCAUUAAAGAGGAGAACAUGCCUAAACUUCUUGUUGAUCGGAUGAACUGAACUCAUCUCAGCCUAAUCCUCUCACCUGAUACUGACGUUGUUUCUAAGGUAAUAAGGGGUUGUUAGCACUGGGAGACGUGAGAACACCUCAUUUCAUUUCAUGAUAUAAAAUUCUUAUUCUCUAACACUGCAUUUUGUCGAUAAGCCACUGGAGGGACACCUCCACUACAAAACCAAACCCAGCGCAACCUGCAGGAGAGCUCCCAGCCCCGCUCGCUCCUGCUGCCUCUCAGAUGGAAGACUCCAGCCAGAGGCGGUUAUUUUUCUGGUUAACAAUUAUUUCUGGUUAAAAAUGAAAACUCUAACUUCACCUCGAGUCAUUCGUUCUGCAAACACAGGAGGAAAAGAAAGAAAGGCAAAAUGCAUUGUGUAUCGCUUCAGCCUGGCGUUACAGCUCACAACUUCAUUGAGGGGAUUUCACAAUGUUCCUGCAAAGUCCAAUUUGCAGCUGCAGUAUUUCCCUUUUCUGUAUCAGGACUACUUCUGUUAUUACAAGCCACCUCUUGCCAGAUCCCAAUUUCUUCCAGACUACAUCACCUAAUAUUUACAGCCCAUCCGCUGCUUUCCUGUGAGAAGAAAAAUCACCCAGAAAAAGUGUCAAUCCGGGGAAGAGAUGCCAAAUGUGUCUGAAACAUAUCGUGGUGCAGAUAGGAUUCUAUUUUUGUCUGGAACAGAAGGCAGGAAGCAUUUAUGUUCCUCAGUAUCUAAAUUUAUCUUCCAAAGAAUAUUUAUUAAAGUCACCAUAGAAACAGUAAUUUAGAACUCUUAUUCCAGUUUUUUUUUACAAUUACUAUUUGCUCUACAGCUUGAUCUGUUACACAGAAAAUAAUGAACAGCUCAAGAUCUGUCACAACCUUAUUCUGUACGUUUUUGCUCCUUGAUGGGAAAGCAUAUCUUGUGGCACGUGAAACAGAACUGCUGUGGACCGUUUUCGUACCCUGACAUUUAGAACCAGUGUCCCCCAGUUAGCCCAGCAGUGGGACACAGCCCGAGGCGUUCUCUCUGUGUUAUGGAGGCGAUUGCACACACUGCCUUCCUGCCUGAUUUCCUCAUGCUGAUCGCUUCGGUGUGAAUGCCUCUGAGAUGAGAACUACUCUGGGCAGUGAGCUCCCUGUAAACAAGCAUCCUACAAGUGCCAAGCUCAGAAAUAACUGUUUGCAUGUGCUGAAAAACAACUUUUGUCAUUAGAAUUGUUCCACAAAGAAGCAAACAGGCUAUACACCCACCCAUGUGGCACAGCAUUUCAUGCUAUUUAGAAUGGUGGCUAUUGCAGGUUAACAAUAAGAGCUGCAUAGUUUAUGAUACAACCUACAGUGAACUUCCUAUCUUUGAAGCUUCACCUUUCUUCUCCGAUGCAUUUUCUAAAUGCAACAAUGUAAUCCUGUAUGCACAGGUUAUAUUUAUCACAGCUGGCUUAGGCUGAGACAGAAUUAAUUAGGAAGUGCCUCAAAU